rnacentral:rRNA from 1 species
UACGUAGGUGGCAAGCGUUGUCCGGAAUUAUUGGGCGUAAAGCGCGCGCAGGCGGUCCUUUAAGUCUGAUGUGAAAUCCCGUGGCUUAACCACAGGCGGUCAUUGGAAACUGGGGGACUUGAGUGCAGAAGAGAAGAGCGGAAUUCCACGUGUAGCGGUGAAAUGCGUAGAGAUGUGGAGGAACACCAGUGGCGAAGGCGGCUCUUUGGUCUGUAACUGACGCUGAGGCGCGAAAGCGUGGGGAGCGAACAGG